UGGGGAAUAUUGCGCAAUGGGCGAAAGCCUGACGCAGCGACGCCGCGUGAGGGAUGAAGGUUUUCGGAUCGUAAACCUCUGUCAGAAGGGAAGAAACCGCACUGUGCUAAUCAGCAGUGCCUUGACGGUACCUUCAAAGGAAGCACCGGCUAACUCCGUGCCAGCAGCCGCGGUAAUACGGAGGGUGCAAGCGUUAAUCGGAAUUACUGGGCGUAAAGCGCACGUAGGCUGCUUUGUAAGUCAGGGGUGAAAUCCCACGGCUCAACCGUGGAACGGCCUUGGAUACUGCUUAGCUUGAAUCCGGGAGAGGGUGGCGGAAUUCCAGGUGUAGGAGUGAAAUCCGUAGAUAUCGGGGGGAACAUCAGUGGCGAAGGCGGCCACCGGGACCGGUAUUGACGCGGAGGUGCGAAAGCGUGGGGAGCAAACAG
rnacentral:rRNA from 1 species